CAAAAAUAUAACUUUUGGAGUCGCACGUAAUCACUCAGAUGCAUUCCAUACCUUCCAUGAACUUGAAGGUCUGCAGGACAUUGUCAGGAAGAAUGUUCCAUGAUGGGUACUUAUAAGGAUGAUACCGCCAAUUCACUAUGUCCUCCUAGAGUUCGUGCAAUGUUGGCAUCACGUGCCUGCAAAUCAUCUAUUGUUAUUGGAGAUCCACUUGGGAGAAAUGAGAUGCAAAAGAUACUUGACAAUCUAUCACGACUAAAGUCUCCGUGGAAUUGUCCACAUGGUAGACCAACAAUGCGUCACUUGGUUGAUCUGAGGACUGUACAUAGAAGAAUAGAAGCGGCUGAGAAUGAGACCGCCUUAUAAACUCCAGUUGGUAACACAGCCACCAAACUGAAGCGGGUACUUCUUUCUGUAAAUUAUUGGAAACAUGUUAAUCAAGGCUGCAUUUUGCCUAGAAUUAUCAAAAUGUCGAGGAAUUAAUUGAGAACACAGAAAGGGGUCUUUUGCUUUCCAUCUACUUUGUAAAGUAUAGAGACAAUAGAGAAAUCUCUCUUGUGUUGUAUUCAAGAAGUAAAGAGUAUAUAUACAAGUACAUAGAGCCUUAACUAUGGAAAGAAUCAAAAAGGAAAUCCUAUAAAUCUGCUGUGAAUCCCUAUAAUUAUGCUAGCUAUGUAUAUUACAUAAGAUUAUGUCUAUAUUCAGAUUAUGUCUACAUUCAUUAUCUAACACUCCCCCUCAAGCUGGAGCAUAGAUAUUGAUCAUGCCCAGCUUGUUACAAAGGUACUCAACUCGAAUUCCAUUCAACGCCUUUGUGAACAAAUCAGCCGGUUGCUCUCCUGUCUUCACGUAGCCAGUGGAGAUCAAGUUCUCCUGAAUCUUCUCACGAAUAAAAUGGCAGUCAACCUCAAUAUGCUUAGUUCUUUCAUGAUACACCGGAUUUGACGCAAUAUGGAGGGCAGCUUGAUGGUCACACCAGAGUUUUGCUGGUAUUGGAUGCUCUAACCCAAUUUCAGUCAACAGAUGAUGUAUCCACAUAAUCUCACAUGUAGACUGUGACAUAGCUCUAUACUCGGAUUCUGCACUAGAUCGAGAUACAACACUUUGCUUCUUACUCCUCCAUGAUACCAAGUUUCCUCCAACAAGACACAAUAACCUGUAGUAGAUCUUCUAUCAAUUUUCGAUCCAGCCCAGUCAGCAUCUGCAAAACACUCAAUAUAAGUAUGAUUGUGAUUGCUAUAUAAUAUGCCAAGUCCAGGAGCUCCUUUCAAGUAACACAAAAUCUUUUCCAAAGCUGCCCAAUGUUUGACCGUUGGUGCAGACAUGAACUGGCUAACAACACUUACUGCAAAAGCAAUAUCUGGACGAGUCACAGUAAAGUAGUUUAAUUUCCCAACUAACCUCCUGUAUCUCUCUGAAUCGUCAAAAGGAUCACCAUCAUCUUUCAUAAGAUGCACA